CUCUAGCCCCGAUAGAAGUGGAAAUCCUUGUGGAGGCAGGCAUCUACGCCGACACAAGAUUGAAAUGGAUAGCGGGAAACAGC
rfam:Flavobacterium sp. EM1321 contig00006, whole genome shotgun sequence.